GCUUUCAUCAGUGUCUCCAGUGUACACUGCAGGAGCUUUGAACAAGUUACUGUGAAAGCUACUCAGAAGAAAAGAUGCUUCCGUGAGAGGCCACUAAUUUUGAACUUGGAGAAAUCACAGCAUUUGUGGGUCCAAAUUUUCUGUGGUGUAAACAAAGGCCCAGAGGAAAAACAUGUCUGAGACAAGAUGCAGGUCCAGGGACCAACAGAGCUGAUAAUGAGCUCUGUCCUAGCUGUAAGAAGAAACCAACCUGAAGCCAUUUUGAAUAAUAUUGCCAUUUUGAAUAGAGAUUAAAUAAAGCUCCCCCCAAGACCUCCCUGGGUAACUGACACCCUGCUUGGCAAGUUGAGACAAGAAUGAUAAGGAAGUCGUCGCCCCUACCUGGUUGAAUAAACCAGCUAGUGAGAAAAGGAUAAAUAUACUACAAAGACAUGUUCCUAAGGAAGUCCCUCAUCCCUAAAUCCUGAUUGGUGGAAACACGUAAAUGUAACUUGGCAUAGUUGUUCAUGGUUUUCAAGCUUAAAAGCUCUAUAUCAUUCUGGCCUGUGGUUGCAGUUCAGCCUCAAGUUUGUUCUAUGGCCCUGAUUGAUUACAAUUAACAAUUGUCAUCUGCAUUGACCAGAUAUUUGAGUUGUAUUGGAUCUAAGUGAACUACAUAACACAGCCAUAGCUAGGAAGUAUGUAGUGUGUGUUUCCCCUUCCUACUUUAUAUGCAUGUGGAAUAUAAAGUCUCUCAAAUGGUCUGUGAUUGAAUUCAAAGAGAACACGUUCUCCAGGCAGCUACUGUUAACCUGAUGGAGUUUGCACAGAAGAUAGAACUUGUUUUCCUUCCUAUGGCACAACGUGUUUGGUCGAUGAAGAUGUCUUCCCCCCCUCACUUCUAAGUAUGUUCAAUUAUGCCUGUUGGCUCAGUUUCCAUACUGCCCCAGUCUUCUGGCUUCGAGUUGGUUCUAAUGCUAGAACACUCUUAAUGCCUGCCUUAUCCCUUGUGUUCUAAAAUGGCUUCAGGAAACUAGGAUGUGACUUACUGAGAGGUGAGUGUAGAGGGUCAUGCUCUGCUGUGUUUCCUUGGGCAACUUUCU